rnacentral:rRNA from 1 species
UACAGAGGUCCCAAGCGUUGUUCGGAUUCAUUGGGCGUAAAGGGUGCGUAGGCGGCGCGGUAAGUCGGGUGUGAAAUCUCGGAGCUUAACUCCGAAACUGCAUUCGAUACUGCCGUGCUUGAGGACUGGAGAGGAGACUGGAAUUUACGGUGUAGCGGUGAAAUGCGUAGAGAUGUGGAGGAACACCAGUGGCGAAGGCGACUUUCUGGCCUAUAACUGACGCUGGAGGCGCGAAAGCGUGGGGAGCAAACAGG